CAGCCGCCACGGUAAUACGGAGGGAGCUAGCGUUGUUCGGAAUUACUGGGCGUAAAGCGCGCGUAGGCGGUUACUCAAGUCAGAGGUGAAAGCCCGGGGCUCAACCCCGGAACUGCCUUUGAAACUAGGUGACUAGAAUCUUGGAGAGGUCAGUGGAAUUCCGAGUGUAGAGGUGAAAUUCGUAGAUAUUCGGAAGAACACCAGUGGCGAAGGCGACUGACUGGACAAGUAUUGACGCUGAGGUGCGAAAGCGUGGGGAGCAAACAGGAUUAGAUACCCCCGUAGUCCCUGUCUCUUAUAU
rnacentral:rRNA from 1 species